GACGAACGCUGGCGGCGUGCUAAUACAUGCAAGUCGAGCGGACCGACGGGAGCUUGCUCCCUUAGGUCAGCGGCGGACGGGUGAGUAACACGUGGGUAACCUGCCUGUAAGACUGGGAUAACUCCGGGAAACCGGGGCUAAUACCGGAUGCUUGAUUGAACCGCAUGGUUCCAAUCAUAAAAGGUGGCUUUUAGCUACCACUUACAGAUGGACCCGCGGCGCAUUAGCUAGUUGGUGAGGUAACGGCUCACCAAGGCGACGAUGCGUAGCCGACCUGAGAGGGUGAUCGGCCACACUGGGACUGAGACACGGCCCAGACUCCUACGGGAGGCAGCAGUAGGGAAUCUUCCGCAAUGGACGAAAGUCUGACGGAGCAACGCCGCGUGAGUGAUGAAGGUUUUCGGAUCGUAAAACUCUGUUGUUAGGGAAGAACAAGUACCGUUCGAAUAGGGCGGCACCUUGACGGUACCUAACCAGAAAGCCACGGCUAACUACGUGCCAGCAGCCGCGGUAAUACGUAGGUGGCAAGCGUUGUCCGGAAUUAUUGGGCGUAAAGCGCGCGCAGGCGGUUUCUUAAGUCUGAUGUGAAAGCCCCCGGCUCAACCGGGGAGGGUCAUUGGAAACUGGGGAACUUGAGUGCAGAAGAGGAGAGUGGAAUUCCACGUGUAGCGGUGAAAUGCGUAGAGAUGUGGAGGAACACCAGUGGCGAAGGCGACUCUC
rnacentral:rRNA from 1 species